AUGAACGCUAGCUACAGGCUUAACACAUGCAAGUCGAGGGGCAGCAUGGUCUUAGCUUGCUAAGGCCGAUGGCGACCGGCGCACGGGUGAGUAACACGUAUCCAACCUGCCGUCUACUCUUGGACAGCCUUCUGAAAGGAAGAUUAAUACAAGAUGGCAUCAUGAGUCCGCAUGUUCACAUGAUUAAAGGUAUUCCGGUAGACGAUGGGGAUGCGUUCCAUUAGAUAGUAGGCGGGGUAACGGCCCACCUAGUCUUCGAUGGAUAGGGGUUCUGAGAGGAAGGUCCCCCACAUUGGAACUGAGACACGGUCCAAACUCCUACGGGAGGCAGCAGUGAGGAAUAUUGGUCAAUGGGCGAGAGCCUGAACCAGCCAAGUAGCGUGAAGGAUGACUGCCCUAUGGGUUGUAAACUUCUUUUAUAAAGGAAUAAAGUCGAGUAUGGAUACCCGUUUGCAUGUACUUUAUGAAUAAGGAUCGGCUAACUCCGUGCCAGCAGCCGCGGUAAUACGGAGGAUUCGAGCGUUAUCCGGAUUUAUUGGGUUUAAAGGGAGCGUAGAUGGAUGUUUAAGUCAGUUGUGAAAGUUUGCGGCUCAACCGUAAAAUUGCAGUUGAUACUGGAUAUCUUGAGUGCAGUUGAGGCAGGCGGAAUUCGUGGUGUAGCGGUGAAAUGCUUAGAUAUCACGAAGAACUCCGAUUGCGAAGGCAGCCUGCUAAGCUGCAACUGACAUUGAGGCUCGAAAGUGUGGGUAUCAAACAGGAUUAGAUACCCUGGUAGUCCACACGGUAAACGAUGAAUACUCGCUGUUUGCGAUAUACGGCAAGCGGCCAAGCGAAAGCGUUAAGUAUUCCACCUGGGGAGUACGCCGGCAACGGUGAAACUCAAAGGAAUUGACGGGGGCCCGCACAAGCGGAGGAACAUGUGGUUUAAUUCGAUGAUACGCGAGGAACCUUACCCGGGCUUAAAUUGCAGAUGAAUUACGGUGAAAGCCGUAAGCCGCAAGGCAUCUGUGAAGGUGCUGCAUGGUUGUCGUCAGCUCGUGCCGUGAGGUGUCGGCUUAAGUGCCAUAACGAGCGCAACCCUUGUUGUCAGUUACUAACAGGUUCCGCUGAGGACUCUGACAAGACUGCCAUCGUAAGAUGUGAGGAAGGUGGGGAUGACGUCAAAUCAGCACGGCCCUUACGUCCGGGGCUACACACGUGUUACAAUGGGGGGUACAGAGGGCCGCUACCACGCGAGUGGAUGCCAAUCCCCAAAACCUCUCUCAGUUCGGACUGGAGUCUGCAACCCGACUCCACGAAGCUGGAUUCGCUAGUAAUCGCGCAUCAGCCACGGCGCGGUGAAUACGUUCCCGGGCCUUGUACACACCGCCCGUCAAGCCAUGGGAGCCGGGGGUACCUGAAGUGCGUAACCGCGAGGAGCGCCCUAGGGUAAAACUGGUGACUGGGGCU
rnacentral:rRNA from 1 species